CGCGUUCUGAGGUCGGAGUGUCUUUGUUGAACUCAGUUUUCUUGCUUGAAGGGAUUUAUGUCACACCAAUUUGGAAAUUCAACAUUGUAGGAUCUAACUAAUGCUUCCAGCUGGAGUUUUCAUCGAUGGAUAUCGUCACAAGUGGGAUGCAUGUGACCACAGGAUACAUUGAAUCGUAUAAAGACAACUAGUAAUAUUUGCUUACGAGUGGCAACAAGUAUAUCUUUUUUUUCAACGAGUAUCAAGGGGCACGGUAGUGCCCAGCCAAGUUCUCUAGCAACUUUGGCACUACACCCUUAUUUACAGGAAACAACUCAGGCCAUUUUCGACCCCCCUCUAACUUCCACACCAAAGAUGCCAGAAUAUUCAAACUCGCUGGCCGAUCCUAAAUUCCUCACAAAAUUUCAGCUUUUUACGAUGAGUAGUUUCUAAAAUAUAGGACUUCAAAAAUCGCGAAAACUAUAACUAACUCACUGACAGAUCAUCAAAAUUAUGGAGAACUUUCCGCUGUCGUAGAAACUUGAAAGGACCAUGGGCACUUUUGUAUGGACUUUGGGCCCAUUUUCAACAUUGCUCAACAGUGAUGAAACGCAUAUCAAAUGAAAGGUCUUGAAGAGUACUUUAAUUUAUUAUAUGGGAAUAAAGUCGAAAACGAGCGCAAAAGUGGUGUUUUUGACCAUUUUAUAAAAUAGUACUUAAAAUGAAAAAAACAUAUUAAAAAAAAGUGGCAACACUAACUAUAAAGUGUUUCACCUUUUUCAAAAGCUAGACAUCCCACCUUUAAUCUAGUAUUAAAAUAAAGUUAUUUCUAUUAUUAGUUUUCGAAAAAAAUGAUUUAUUAAUAAAAAAUUGUAAAAAAUAAGGUAAAAUCAAAAUAUUUAGUACUACUUUUUUUCACUUUUUGUGAAAUAAAGCUCUAAAAUGACUUUUUUAAUUCA